GAUGAACGCUGGCGGCGUGCCUAAUACAUGCAAGUCGAGCGAACAGACGAGGAGCUUGCUCCUCUGACGUUAGCGGCGGACGGGUGAGUAACACGUGGAUAACCUACCUAUAAUACUGGGAUAACUUCGGGAAACCGGAGCUAAUACCGGAUCAUAUAUUGAACCGCAUGGUUCAAUAGUGAAAGACGGUUUUGCUGUCACUUAUAGAUGGAUCCGCGGCGCAUUAGCUAGUUGGUAAGGUAACGGCUUACCAAGGCAACGAUGCGUAGCCGACCUGAGAGGGUGAUCGGCCACACUGGAACUGAGACACGGUCCAGACUCCUACGGGAGGCAGCAGUAGGGAAUCUUGCGCAAUGGGCGAAAGCCUGACGGAGCAACGCCGCGUGAGUGAUGAAGGUCUUCGGAUCGUAAAACUCUGUUAUUAGGGAAGAACAAAUGUGUAAGUAACUAUGCACGUCUUGACGGUACCUAAUCAGAAAGCCACGGCUAACUACGUG
rnacentral:rRNA from 1 species